GGGUAUGGACAUUGGUAUUAAUUAUUAUAAAGCAACAAAAUAAGGUAGGAAAAGAGGUUCUGAUUUGUCUUGGUCCAGAAAUGUCUACUGCUUUGCCAAACUGUCUAUUAAUCAUGUCUCUUAUGGUGCCCAACUGUCUAUUAAACUUGGAGCCGAAUCAUUUCUGAGCUGGUGAGGAACUGUCUUGUUAAGUUACCUUAUCUUAAAAGCGCAUGGUUGAAUGGGAUGGUAAGACUGGUUUCCGAGAAAAGUGUGCUUUUUACCUGUUAAAAGUACUGACAAAGAACCAGUUUUAAAUUAUCGAUUGCAAGUCUGAGGGGGUCUUUAGAAAUAAAAAGUUUCAAUUAGUUUCAGUUUAAAUUUGGAAAGAUUCAAACAAAUCUUCUUUUCUUGUUUUUUUUUUUUUUUUAAUAAUCAUACUUUGUUCAUCAAAGUUGGAUUAAAAUUUAUUUUCUGCAGAAUGAUUCUACUUGUCCCAUCAGUGUGAAUGUUGACAAAGUAAUAGAGAAGUUCGUUUCUGCUUUAUAGACGCGAAGAGCAGAUUUUGGUCAAUUUUGAGUAAAUUCUGUAAUUCAAAAAUGUGUUGUUUAUGUAUUAAAUUAACCAUGAUUUACUCUAUUCAUAAGAUUCAAGUAUUGAAAGUUUUACAUUCAUAAAUUGUUUAUAAGUCCUAUCUACAUGUAGCUCCUCUUUAAACCGUCCUAUGACUGAAAACCGAAAAAAAAAACAUUUUUCUGCAUUAAAGGGUCCCAAAAUUUUUUCGACUCGCUCCGCUCAGCGGUAGUUGCUUGCACAUCGUUUUCUUCUAGCUACGUCCCUGUACGGUAGUUUAAACAGGUCUCAUUAAAAAGUAUCAUGCAUGGUGAAUUGUUUAAACAGGGUCCCAGAUAGCUUCAACUGGAUGAAAAGG
rnacentral:lncRNA from 1 species